UACAGAGGUCUCAAGCGUUGUUCGGAUUCAUUGGGCGUAAAGGGCGCGUAGGCGGCGAUUCAAGUGGCGGGUGAAAUCCCUCGGCUUAACCGAGGAACUGCCUGCCAGACUGGAUUGCUUGAGUCCGGGAGAGGUGAGUGGAAUUCCCAGUGUAGCGGUGAAAUGCGUAGAUAUUGGGAGGAACACCAGUGGCGAAGGCGGCUCACUGGACCGGAACUGACGCUGAGGCGCGAAAGCGUGGGGAGCAAACAGG
rnacentral:rRNA from 1 species